rnacentral:RNase_P_RNA from 1 species
CGAGUAAAUUGAACAAUCGCUGCCACCUUCUGUGGGAGAGGAAAGUCCGAGCUCCAUAGGGCAGGGUGCUGGGUAAUACCCAGUCAAGGUAACUUGAAGGAAAGUGCAACAGAGAUAUACCGCCUAAGGUAUUUUAUAAAUAUACUGGCAAGGGUGGAAAGGUGAGGUAAGAGCUCACCAGCGCAAUGGCGACUUUGCGGCUAUGUAAACCCCAUCUGGAGCAAGAUCGAAUAGAGAGGUGUCUUACGGCUUUUGGUCAGUAAGAGGGGGCGGCCCGUCCUUCCUCUGGGUAGUAUCGCUUGAAUUUACUGGUAACAGUAAAUCUAGAUAGAUGAUUGUUUAAACAGAACUCGGCUUAUAGAUUUAGUCGCAUA